UACACAGCCGUAUCACUUUACAGUCACUCACUGAAGCUAAGCAGGACUGAGCCUGGUCAGUACCUGGAUGGGAGACCACAUGGGAAAACUCAGUUGCUGAUGGAA
rnacentral:rRNA from 1 species